rnacentral:rRNA from 1 species
GACGAACGCUGGCGGCGUGCCUAAUACAUGCAAGUAGAACGCACAGUUUAUACCGUAGCUUGCUACACCAUAGACUGUGAGUUGCGAACGGGUGAGUAACGCGUAGGUAACCUGCCUGGUAGCGGGGGAUAACUAUUGGAAACGAUAGCUAAUACCGCAUAAUAUUGAUUAUUGCAUGAUAAUUGAUUGAAAGAUGCUAUUGCAUCACUACCAGAUGGACUUGCGUUGUAUUAGCUAGUAGGUGAGGUAACGGAUCACCUAGGCGACGAUACAUAGCCGACCUGAGAGGGUGAUCGGCCACACUGGGACUGAGACACGGCCCAGACGCCUACGGGAGGCAGCAGUAGGGAAUCUUCGACAAUGGACGAAAGGCUGACCGAGAAACGCCGCGGGAGUGAAGAAGGGUUUCGGAUCGUAAAGCUCUGUUGUGAGAGAAGAACGGGUGUGAGAGUGGAAAGUUCACACUGUGACGGUAUCUUACCAGAAAGGGACGGCUAACUACGUG